rnacentral:rRNA from 1 species
UACGGAGGGGGCGAGCGUUGUCCGAAGUUACUGGGCGUAAAGCGCGCGUAGGCGGGCUAUUAAGUGAGAGGUGAAAGGCUGGGGCUCAACCCCAUGCAGUGCCUCUCAUACUGGUAGUCUUGAGGGCGGUAGGGAAGAGUGGAAUGGCUGGUGUAGCGGUGAAAUGCGUAGAUAUCAGGAAGAACACCGAUGGCGAAGGCAGCUCUCUGGGACGGUACUGACGCUGAGACGCGAAAGCGUGGGGAGCGAACAGG